rnacentral:rRNA from 1 species
CCUACGGGUGGCAGCAGUGAGGAAUAUUGGUCAAUGGUCGGGAGACUGAACCAGCCAAGCCGCGUGAGGGAUGAAGGUACAGAGUAUCGUAAACCUCUUUUGUCAGGGAACAAAGGCGGGGACGCGUCCCCGGAGGAGUGUACCUGAAGAAAAAGCAUCGGCUAACUCCGUGCCAGCAGCCGCGGUAAUACGGAGGAUGCGAGCGUUAUCCGGAUUUAUUGGGUUUAAAGGGUGCGCAGGCGGUCUGUUAAGUCAGCGGUCAAAGCCCGGGGCUCAACCCCGACCCGCCGUUGAAACUGGCAGUCUCGAGUUGGAGAGAAGUAUGCGGAAUGCGCGGUGUAGCGGUGAAAUGCAUAGAUAUCGCGCAGAACUCCGAUUGCGAAGGCAGCAUGCCGGCUCCACACUGACGCUGAGGCACGAAAGCGUGGGUAUCGAACAGGAUUAGAUACCCCAGUAGUC